rnacentral:rRNA from 1 species
GGGAGGGGGGGCUAGCGUUGUUCGGAAUUACUGGGCGUAAAGCGCGCGUAGGCGGACCUGCAAGUCGGGGGGGUGAAAGCCCGAGGCUCAACCUCGGAACUGCCUUCGAUACUGCGGGUCUCGAGUCCGGGAGAGGUGAGUGGAAUUCCUAGUGUAGAGGUGAAAUUCGUAGAUAUUAGGAAGAACACCAGUGGCGAAGGCGGCUCACUGGCCCGGUACUGACGCUGAGGCGCGAAAGCGUGGGGAGCAAACAGGAUUAGAUACCCUGGUAGUCCACGCCGUAAACUAUGGGUGCUAGCCGUCGGUCGGCAUGCCGGUCGGUGGCGCAGCAAACGCAUUAAGCACCCCGCCUGGGGAGUACGGUCGCAAGAUUA